UACAGAGGGUGCGAGCGUUGUCCGGAAUCACUGGGCGUAAAGGGCGCGUAGGCGGUCUGGUAAGCGUGCGGUGAAAGCCCGGGGCUCAACCCCGGGUCGGCCGUGCGAACUGCUGGACUGGAGCUUGGCAGAGGCAGGCGGAAUUCCGGGUGUAGCGGUGGAAUGCGUAGAGAUCUCCAAGAACACCCGUUGCGAAGGCGGCUAGCUGGGUUCACAUUGACGCUGAGGCUCGAAAGCGUGGGGAGCAAACAGG
rnacentral:rRNA from 1 species